UUUCCAUCUUGGAUCAAGGAUAGCAACACGUUGUAAGAGCUGAACAAGGAAAGAAGACAUGAGAGGAGGCUACAAAAGAAAGACACUACUGGGAUCACAGUGAAUCUGAGGUCACAAAACUCUACCCCAUGCUGCUUCCGGGCCUUGGAGCUCCAUGUUAUUUUUCCAGCACACCACCUUCCAUUUGUGAUGAAGAAUGCUACCCAUCAGUGUAAAGAAAAAAGGAGAUGAGGGAACCGCAUGGCCACCUAAUGAUGGGUCUAUUAUAAGUAAUGCUGCAAUGAACAUUGGAGUACAGAUACUUCUAUGAGACUGUGAUUUCUACCUCUUUGGAUACAUAUACUCAGAAGUAGGAUUGCUGGAUC